rnacentral:rRNA from 1 species
UUGACGGGGACCCGCACAAGCGGUGGAUGAUGUGGUUUAAUUCGAUGCAACGCGAAAACCUUUACCCACCUUUGACAUGUACGGAACUCGCCAGAGAUGGCUUGGUGCUCGAAAGAGAACCGUAACACAGGUGCUGCAUGGCUGUCGUCAGCUCGUGUCGUGAGAUGUUGGGUUAAGUCCCGCAACGAGCGCAACCCUUGUCAUUAGUUGCCAUCAUUUGGUUGGGCACUCUAAUGAGACUGCCGGUGACAAACCGGAGGAAGGUGGGGAUGACGUCAAGUCCUCAUGGCCCUUAUGGGUAGGGCUUCACACGUCAUACAAUGGUCGGUACAGAGGGUUGCCAACCCGCGAGGGGGAGCUAAUCCCACAAAGCCGAUCGUAGUCCGGAUCGCAGUCUGCAACUCGACUGCGUGAAGUCGGAAUCGCUAGUAAUCGUGGAUCAGCAUGUCACGGUGAAUACGUUCCCGGGUCUU